CCGACGGUGAGGGAUGAAAGCUGGGGGAGCAAACCGGAUUAGAUACCCGGGUAGUCCAGCUGUAAACUAUGCAAACUCAGUGAUGCAUUGGCUUGUGGCCAAUGCAGUGCUGCAGGGAAGCCGUUAAGUUUGCCGCCUGGGAAGUACGUACGCAAGUAUGAAACUUAAAGGAAUUGGCGGGGGAGCACCACAAGGGGUGAAGCCUGCGGUUCAAUUGGAGUCAACGCCAGAAAUCUUACCCGGAGAGACAGCAGAAUGAAGGUCAAGCUGAAGACUUUACCAGACAAGCUGAGAGGUGGUGCAUGGCCGUCGCCAGCUCGUGCCGUGAGAUGUCCUGUUAAGUCAGGUAACGAGCGAGAUCCCUGCCUCUAGUUGCCACCAUUACUCUCAGGAGUAGUGGGGCGAAUUAGCGGGACCGCCGCAGUUAAUGCGGAGGAAGGAAGGGGCCACGGCAGGUCAGUAUGCCCCGAAACUCUGGGGCCACACGCGGGCUGCAAUGGUAGCGACAAUUGGUUUCGAAUCCGAAAGGAUGAGGUAAUCCACAAACGCUACCACAGUUAUGACUGAGGGCUGCAACUCGCCCUCACGAAUAUGGAAUCCCUAGUAACUGCGUGUCAUUAUCGCGCGGUGAAUACGUCCCUGCUCCUUGCACACACCGCCCGU
rnacentral:rRNA from 1 species